ACACGUGCGACAUCGACGCAGUAUUAUGACGUUACCUUUGCCCAGAGUUCAGUAACUUCAUUAGUGUGUGCUGUUAUAAUUAUUCUAUUUAGAAACCUGUUCUAUGCUCUCAUUGCUCCGCGCAGUGGGUCCACUUAAUACUACUAAUGUGAAGUGACCCCUGAUGUCAUGCCUCCAACCAUGGCUCAGAUAAGUGAUCCAAAGAUCGCAUUUGCCUAUCUGCGUCCGGCCUGUGUCCUGCUCACUCGAGAUCCCACUGUGACCAAUGUGGAGACACUGAGCGCCCAGUUGAAAGAAGUCAACGAUGCCACGUUGCAGCAGCUCCAAGAGUACGUCCUAUUUCCUCUUCGCUUCGUCCUUAAAGUCCCCACGCCCAAGAAGGACCAAUUGGUGCAGGCUGUGGCUGAGGCCAUGAGCCACGUGCUGGAGAAAACUUGUGUCCAGACCUGGGAGACCCUCCGUGACCUUCUAUCAGAGCUUAGCCUCUGCUUGUGCUCUCCAACCGAUCCUGGGAAACCUGCAGAUACAUCAGAGGAGCUGAAAUCAGCUGUGCUGAGGUGCCUGGAUGCACUGCUUCAUGCUGCUUACGGUGAUAUAGUCUUCAAACUCUUUGAACCCGUUAUGCUGCCCGGACUGGGAGCUGCCAUAUCACUGCUGCUGGCUUUAGGAGAGAAUGAGAAAUCUCGAGAUAUACAGUCAUCAGCGUUGAAGUGCCUCCAGGCUUUGACUCUGCAAUGUGAUUGCACUCAGGAGCACAUAGUCCCAUCCUCAGAGGAGAGAUGCACUAUAGGCAGCACCAUGGCUUCAUUCUUACCUGGGAUCACUAUGGCUGUAGCCAGGAUCAUUACAGGAGAUCUGAGACAUGGCCAUGCAGUCACAGUCAGGGCGAUCAAGGUUUGGUCCAGGACUGUGGGGCUUGUCAUGGAAGACACCCAGCUGCAAGCCAGUGAGCCCUGGAAGACUCCCUCACCUGACCUGGGGAGAAUCAGACAGCUGGUGGUCCAUCGGACACAAGACUGGGUGAAGAGCACAGCGGGGAAACUGUUUGUGCUCCUGAAGAAGAUUAUCUCCUGCACCGUGGCUCACCAGCACUGGACGGUUAGACUAGAGAUGGUGGAGCUAGUUGACCAUCUGCUGGCCAGGUGUAGCCAGUCACUGGGAGAGUGUGUGGGACUGCUACUGGAAGCACUGGUGGGAGCAGUCAAUGAUGAGGAGCCCAGAGUCAGAAAGAGGUGUGAGGUCACUCUCAGAGAGGUAUCACAGAGGCAUCAGAGCUGCAGCAGUGAUACCAGCAAAAGCAGCAGCAGCAGCAGUGCUCAGACCUUCACUGAUGUGCUUUCAGAGAAUCUCCACUCUUUGGCCACCUCCCUGCCCAGACUGAUGAGGACCUCUGAUGACCAGAAGAAGCUGUUUGUCCUCAACGUGUUUCUGGGUUAUUUAAAAGUCCUGGGACCACUUGUCUCUGUGGUACUAAACUCAGCUGCACAUCUUGAGAGGAUUUCCAAAGCCUUGAUGCAGGUGCUGGAGCUGGAUGUGAUGGAUGUUCGCAUUGUGGAGGAAAGGAGUUAUGCUGCUACCAUAGAGACAGGCUCAGGCUCUCAUGAUUCCUACACUGCUCACGCACAGAGGAAGCAUUUUCUCUACUUCACAGAUGAGAAGAUCUUCUCUGUGCUCAUGGAGAUCUGUCGAACAUUAGGUUACUAUGGCAACAUUUACCUGCUGACAGAUCACUUCCUGGAUCUGUAUCAACUGUCUUCUGCAUACAGAAAGCAGGCUGCCAUGGUGCUAAAUGAGAUCGUCAGGGGUUCCGCAGGCAUAGCCGUGGCAACAGGGGGUCAGGGUUUGGAGAGUCAAGUUCGGGGACACUCUGCCACCCAGGAAGACCUUAAAGUGGCAAUGGUGUCUGUCAUGGAGGAAUACACCAGUCUGAAAAACUGGCACUUGAUUACAGUCAGUGAGGAGACGGAUAGAGACCGGGAGGACCAGCAGCUGCUCAGCCCAUCCAGACACCUCUCCAUAUCCAACAGCAGUGUCAGCAACACUAAUGCAAACUCUCUCGAAGUGAUUCCUUCCACAUUUGCCUUCCCGUCUCCCUCAUCGUCCACCUCCACAAUCCACCAGCUCAACAGCAACAUCUGGCAACUGUGCAUCCAACUUGAGGGCAUCGCCUGCUUUGCUCAGGCCCUGGGGCGUGACUUUCGUCCCUUGUUGAUGACAGCACUGUACCCCGUACUGGAGAAAGCUGGGGAGGAGACACUGCUGGUCAGCCAGGCAGCACUGGGCUCCAUGUGGGACAUCAGUAAGGCCUGUGGCUACCCCUCCCUGAAGGAGCUGAUCAAUGAGAACUCAGACUACCUGCUCAAUGACAUAUCACUUAACCUGCAGAGGCUCAGCCAGCAUCCACAGGCUCCACGGGUGUUGACAGUGAUGUUAACUCACUCUGACUGCAGCCUGCUGCCUCUGGUUGGGGACAUCGUUCAGGAUGUGCUGAUGGCUCUGGAUCUCAGUUACGACAACACAGCUGCUCUUUUCUGCUCUGUGCUACACGCGCUCAUGACGGCACUGGUGAGGUGGUUUCCCUCCAGUUGUGGUAGAACCAGUGAGUCUGCCAGACCCAAGAAGACCUCCACUCACAAGGAAAUCCUCAACAUCCGCCAAUUCCUGCUGGAUCACCGCAAACAGAAAGAGCUGGCAGAGGGCAUUGGGAUAGAGGAGGAGGACACUGAGGACCAUGAAGUCCCUCCUCCUACAGAGUGUGAGGAUGUUGAAGAUAUUGGUGGUCCUGAUAUGAAAGCAGAGCUUCCUUCCCACCUCAGCAUCACUAAAGAUGUUAUGGAGCGCUGCAUUCAUCUGCUGUCCCACCCUAGUCUCAGGCUCCGACUCAAGGUACUGGAUGUGCUGGAGCUAUGUGUGUGUGCACUGAGUGAGAAGGAAAAUGAAUUGCUGCCUAUGGCUCAUCGCUGCUGGCCCGCCCUCCUACAGAGACUCACAGCUGAUGACCCUUUAGCUGUCCUCAGAGCCUUCAGGUUGCUGUGUACGCUGGGUGAAACAUGUGGUGACUUCCUGAGGAGGAGGGUUUCUAAAGAGGUUCUGCCCAAGCUGAGCUCCUCGCUGGCACGGCAAGCUCCAAUCAGCGCCAAGGCCGGACCCGUCUACACGCACACCCUGGUCUACAAACUGCAGCUGGCUGUACUGCAGGGGCUGGGCUCACUGUGCCAAAGGCUGGAUCUAGUUGGACGUGCCAUGAAAAUCUCUUAGGAAGGGCGCCCAGGAGGCAUACUGAUCAGAUGCCCAAACCACCUCAAUUGACUCCUGUUGACGCGAAAGAGCAGCGGCCCUACUCCAAGUUCAUUCCAGAUGUCUGAGUUCCUUACUCCACAUUUAAAGCUCCCCUUUCACCACAUUGGUCCGGUACAAUGCCGGCAUUACUGCUGACGUUGCACCAAUCCGCCUGUCAAUCUCACGCUCCAUUUUACCCUCACUCGUGAACAAGAACCAGAGAUACUUGAACUCCAACACUUUUAGCAGAAAGUCACUAACAACCUGGAGCGAACAAUCCACCGUUUUCCGGCAGAGAACCAUGGUCUCAGACUUGCAGGUGCUGACUUUCAUCUCAACCACUUCACAUUCGACUGCACACCACCCACCAUGGACAUGAUUGUAAGUCCACAAAAUACAUAUAGACUGGAUGGGCAAACUCCCUUGACCCCCUCUAGUAACCCUGCAAGGGUAAAGAUCUGGGCCACUGUUCCACGACCAGGACGGAAUCCGCAUUGCUUCUCCUGGAUCUGAGGUUCGACACGGUGCCUCCUUUCUAGCACCCUGGCAUAAGCUUUCCCAGGGAGGCUGAGCAGUGUGAUACCCCGAUAAUUGGAGCAUACCUUCCGAUCCCGGUCUGCCAUUCCGUAGUCACUGUCCCUGACCUCUAAGCAACAUUGAAGAGGCGUGUCAGCCACGACAGCCCAACAAUGUCCAGAGCCUUCAGCAUCUCAAGGCGAAUCUCAUGCAUACCUGCCGCCUUGCCCUGAGGAGAGGCAGCUUUAAGUUUUUUUUUAAAUGACCAUGAUAUAAACAUUAUAAUCCAUUCUGCGAUGUAAUUUAAAACAACACUUACUCACCUUAUGCUUUGUGUUGGGUGUUUCUUUGCCUCUGGAUUGUUCGUACAUAAUGAUAUCAAAAUGUAAAAGUGUUUUCCACAUGUCCACAAUGAGAGGACCUGAUGUCUGAAAGAUACUGUGUAUUUGUUACACAGCCCAGAUUAUGUUCAUUACAAAGUAACAACUUACAAAGAAAUACACUUCUAACAAACCAACCUGCAUUUGAUGUAGUUGUAGUCUCUGUCAACUUGGUGAAAGCAGCAGCUCUGGGUGUUGGUGUUGAUAAAUUACUCCUUUUUACCACCAGAUACCCUUGUUUGCCUGUAUUUUUCCACAAGAGAGAAAAAAUUAACCUAGCUCUGCUGCCACAGUUACACCAUUAGAGAUGUAAUGAUACGUUCAGCUCACAAUUUGGCUUGAUAUGCCAUACUGGGUUCUCGCUUUGAUAUUAACACAGUAUUUCAAACAAAAUCAGAAUAAAGCCAAUCAUGACUGAAAUGUUUUUUUCUGGAUUUCCGUGAAGCCAAAAUAAUUAACUUUAAUGUUUUUUUUCAUCCUUUGCAAUUCACAUAUAACACGACAUAUUUCACUCAAACAAACGGAAAAAAACAGACAAAUAUAUGGACUCAAACCCAACAGUAAAUCUUACACUGUUGUGAGUUUUAACAUUGCGAUGUGGUUUUACUAGUCGUCCUUGUAAGUCAGUGUUCUCUUACAGUAACUUCCAAAGCAAAAAUAUAUUGGAUUCUCAACUAACAGUUGUCAGCUAGAAGGCGUAGCUCUGUCAGUCUGAUUACCUCCCACUGUAUUUUCGUUCUGCCUUGUCACUGCCACCAAAAGUAUGUAACAGUCAACCCUAAUAAAUUAAACUUGAAAUUGCGUCUGUUAAAUGGGUUAGUUAGCUGUGUGAUAAAGUCACGUUAGGACAAAUUACCCUAGUCAGUUAACUGAAAAUUAUGUAUUAGUUAGUGUGAUAGACCACAGAUAACUUUGUGAAACAUUCACUGCAAGAUUUUGUGUUGCAAAGUUUCUUUACAUUCUCAUGAACUAUUUUUGAAAAGAAGUCAAAAAUAAGUAAAUUUACUUGGUUAUUGGACCUUUUGAGAAAUUCCUCAAUAUUUUUGCCUAGCUUUAUAUUCUUCUCUGCAAGUCUUUGGUGCACCAACAACAAUGUUAGGAUGCCCUCCCUCGUCAUACUUGACCUUUGUAGUGAUAUCUGGUUUGUCCGACAUCUUUAUAAGACUUUUCUAAGACACAGUUUCUCUGCACCUUUAUGUGUGGCUGGCUCUGCAUUAUUAAUAGGUUUUUGAUUCUCUAGGUUUUCCCUAACAUUAUUUUAUACUAGAGUUCAUCAUGAACAUAACAUUUCCAAAUGAAAUAAAACAUUUGGCAUAUAUGUCAUUAUACAAUGGAUAUAUUGCUCACAGUAAAAACUCAUCAGUUAUGAUGCAGCUAUAAACUCCUACAUUACUUGCUGUCUUACUUUCCUGUUUUCUGUCUCUUUCUUUAUUUAAACCAAAUAUGAUUAAAGGUAUGAAAAUGUGCACCAGCCAUGAUAUGUUUAGGUUUGGUCCAUCUUAACCACUCGUGUCUUCAACAUUGAAGAAAAUAAUUUCUCUAUGUAAGUAUCCCAUUUAAUUCAAUGUAGCAGAGUACUCAGAAUAGCUAGCACUGUUUUUCUUUUUCUGUUUUAAACUGCUAUAGGAGACUAUAGACAUUAUGUAGCAUUAUGAGUUGAGUGUGUUGAGUGUUGAGUGAGUGAAUGUAACUAUGAGACAACACAGAAACUGAUUUUAAACUGUAUAAAAGUUACACAGGUGUAACUAAUACGUACUCGUUAGGACUAAUGACAAUGUGGUUGAAAUCAAAAGUUCGGAGGCAAAGUCAUCAGAGUUUUUUAAAGACCUUUAUUGAAAUCAAUAAAGACCUGAAUCGGUUUGCAAAGCAACUGAAUCACACAAGCAUACAGUUCAGUAUUUGUACAUCUCAUCAUAGAGGGUUGUAACCUCACGCACCAAUUACAGCAGAUCCUGAACGUACACCUCUUGAUCAUCUGAUUAUCAUUUAUGUUGCGGCAUGGUCAGCCUUGUUCUCUGUGUCACAUUCAAACCAAGAGCACAAACAUUGGCAUUUUGUCUAGAUUUCGGAAUGUCAUCCCCAAGGCUUACUUGAUGAGUCUAAACCUUUGGAAUGUCAGCCUUAAAGCUUGUUUAUCUUCAUCAAACACAUGCUGAGAUAAUCUCAACAUCCUUUCGAUCUGGAUUGCUCCUUGAUGAGCUGUGGCACUUGACUAGUGACACUUCCAUUCAUGUGAGCACGAGAGCCUUCGCACUCCUUUAGCGGGCCGCCUGGUUGGCCCUACACAGUCUCCUGCCCGGCACCUUACUCAAGCCCACUCAGCAAGAGGGAGAAGAGGAGGAACCACUUCGUCCAUCGCCAUGGCUUUCCGCCUCCUCGGUAGCAGCUGGAGGAGCCGGCCUGCACCUUGAGGCAUGGAUCCAUUCUGCUCUGCCUUCGACCUUAAGGGCUGUCCUGGUUGUCAGCAGCACCUGGAAUGGUUCUUUCCACCUAAGAGAUAAAGAUACCUUGUCCAGAGAUUUAAUUAGUACAAAAUCACCAACUUGAAAAGGAUGAAUAGGCUCCUCUGAUGGUUUUGGGUGUCUGUCUGAUACCUGCAAAUUAAACUUUCUCAAGGUUUCUGUUAGUCCUUUUACAUACUCUGUCCUAUAUUCAUCAGUCCAUAACUAGAGUGGUUUUGUACAUUUCAUUAGAUCAAACUUGUCAGUUCCUGGUUUACUAUGAUUCAGUUAUUCUGCAGUCACUCUGAGACUAUCCAGUCUCUUAGACAUGACUUUAAUUGAUAUUAAUUUUAUUCAUUAAUAAAAUCAAGUUGUUAAAAAAAGUUUUUUCUUCUUGUUUAUAUUUAUCUUUGCCUUACGGUACUUCCCCGAGAUCUCCAAUAUUGUAUCCACUUUCGAUGGGAAUGCUGUAUCACAAAGUCUCCUUCCACAAUCCCACAAGCAGUCUGUAGGGGAGGUAGACAUUCUGGAUCUUUGGGUGUUUUUGAACCCUCCCCAGUUGCACGCAGAUCAGCUUAUGUAGAAGGUGGACAGAGGACAGUAUGAGUUAGGAUCCCAGAAACAAACCCAGAUUGUCAUAGCAAUUUUACAAUACCGUUCUAACAAAGAGGAACAAGAUGUCUUUAUUUGUCUUUAUUUUACUUUCAGAGCAUCACAGGCUCAAUAUCAUCCCCAAGGCUUGCUUGAUGAGUCU